GAUGAACGCUCGCUACAGGCUUAACACAUGCAAGUCGAGGGGCAGCAUGAACUUAGCUUGCUAAGUUUGAUGGCGACCGGCGCACGGGUGAGUAACACGUAUCCAACCUGCCGAUGACUCGGGGAUAGCCUUUCGAAAGAAAGAUUAAUACCCGAUGGCAUAGUUCUUCCGCAUGGUAGAACUAUUAAAGAAUUUCGGUCAUCGAUGGGGAUGCGUUCCAUUAGGUUGUUGGCGGGGUAACGGCCCACCAAGCCUUCGAUGGAUAGGGGUUCUGAGAGGAAGGUCCCCCACAUUGGAACUGAGACACGGUCCAAACUCCUACGGGAGGCAGCAGUGAGGAAUAUUGGUCAAUGGACGAGAGUCUGAACCAGCCAAGUAGCGUGAAGGAUGACUGCCCUAUGGGUGGUAAACUUCUUUUAUACGGGAAUAAAGUGAGGCACGGGUGCCUUUUUGUAUGUACCGUAUGAAUAAGGAUCGGCUAACUCCGUG
rnacentral:rRNA from 1 species